rnacentral:rRNA from 1 species
UAGAGUUUGAUCAUGGCUCAGAUUGAACGCUGGCGGCAUGCCUUACACAUGCAAGUCGAACGGUAACGCGGGGCAACCUGGCGACGAGUGGCGAACGGGUGAGUAAUGCAUCGGAACGUGCCCAGUAGUGGGGGAUAGCCCGGCGAAAGCCGGAUUAAUACCGCAUACGACCUAUGGGUGAAAGCGGGGGACCGUAAGGCCUCGCGCUAUUGGAGCGGCCGAUGUCAGAUUAGCUAGUUGGUGGGGUAAAAGCCUACCAAGGCGACGACCUGUAGCUGGUCUGAGAGGACGACCAGCCACACUGGGACUGAGACACGGCCCAGACUCCUACGGGAGGCAGCAGUGGGGAAUUUUGGACAAUGGGCGCAAGCCUGAUCCAGCCAUGCCGCGUGCGGGAAGAAGGCCUUCGGGUUGUAAACCGCUUUUGUCAGGGAAGAAACGCUCUGGGCUAAUACUCUGGGGUAAUGACGGUACCUGAAGAAUAAGCACCGGCUAACUACGUGCCAGCAGCCGCGGUAAUACGUAGGGUGCAAGCGUUAAUCGGAAUUACUGGGCGUAAAGCGUGCGCAGGCGGUUAUGCAAGACAGAUGUGAAAUCCCCGGGCUCAACCUGGGAACUGCAUUUGUGACUGCAUGGCUGGAGUACGGUAGAGGGGGAUGGAAUUCCGCGUGUAGCAGUGAAAUGCGUAGAUAUGCGGAGGAACACCGAUGGCGAAGGCAAUCCUCUGGACCUGUACUGACGCUCAUGCACGAAAGUGUGGGGAGCAAACAGGAUUAGAUACUCUGGUAGUUCACGCCCUAAACGAUGUAACUGGUUGUUGGACGGCUUGCUGUUCAGUAACGAAGCUAACGCGUGAAGUUGACCGCCUGGGGAGUAUGGCGCAAGGUUGAAACUCAAUGGAAUUG